rnacentral:misc_RNA from 1 species
GCAAACUUGGUCAUUUAGAGGAAGUAAAAGUCGUAACAAGGUUUCCGUAGGUGAACCUGCGGAAGGAUCAUUACCGAGUGAGGGUCUUUUUUAGGCCCAACCUCCCACCCGUGUCUAUUUUGUACCUUGUUGCUUCGGCGGGCCAACCGGCUUUGAUCGGUUGCGCCACGGAAAGGUGGGAUUUCUAUCCCAAGCCAAACUUUUCCGGGCUUUGCGCUCGCCGGAGACCUCCAACAUGAACACUUUUGAGAAGUUUGCAGUCUGAGUUCGAUUGUAUCGCAAUCAGUUAAAACUUUCAACAAUGGAUCUCUUGGUUCCGGCAUCGAUGAAGAACGCAGC